GAAUGAAGAUUUCAUGGAUUGAACUCAUCUUCGUCUCAUCGUCUCAUCGUCUGUUGAUUAAUUGAUUAACUGUCAAGCGGUUCUACAAAUCUGAGUUGCUUUUUUCUUUUCCUUUCAUAGUUUCAUUGUGCAUCAGUGCAUCAGUGCAUAUAAUUGUGACUUGUAUUGUGGUUUUUUAUUUUUCUUAAAUUAGUUAUUAUGAAAAGUAGUUGAUUCAAAGUUAAUUUCUUGGUGAAUAGACUUAGAAUAGACUUAGAAAUAGACUUAGAAACAAGAUGGAAGAUGAGUUUCUUGGUGAUUGUAUGGUCCUUCAUAUU
rnacentral:lncRNA from 1 species